UGGGAGUCAAAGAGUACGUUCUCUUUGAGAAGAGCAACUUCUUAGUCUCACUAGAGUUGUCCUAUUGAUUGAAGUUCAUCAUCAUAUGAGAAACUUCCCAUCAUCUUUUGUCUAUUAUUAGGAAUUGAUAUAAUCCAAUUAUAUCCUAAAAAUCUAUCAUUAUAGAUUUCCAUCCCCUGUAUAUAGACUAUGUCUCCCAUAUACAUUCUAUCUUCAUAUAAUGUUUAAAGUCAUAACUUUAACGAAGAAGUAUUCUUUUCAUUUCCAAAAUUAAUAUAUCAUAUAUAUUUAAAUUUUAGGAACAUGAUUAACUCCCACUAAUCUUUUGUAAACCUAGUAAACAAAAGAUUCAUUUACAUCUUUAUGAGAAAUCAAAUGAUUUGAUCCUUUUCUCAUAAGAUGCUCAUAGCUUCCACUAGCUUGCUUAGAUUCAUGAUGGAUGGAUCUCUACAACUUACAUGUCUUGUGAUUCAUAGUUUAGACAUAUAUUAUUAAGACUAUCUUAAUAAUGGUUUCGGAAACCCAUAUUAUGUCCAAACAUUGAAUCACCAUUUAGUUGUAGCUAGCAAUCUUCGAAUUAAUUGAAACCAAGACUAUCUCAAAGAUGGUUUCUUCAAAGUCAACCAUCCUUUUGAUUGUAGUUACCUUAAGCUACCAAUUAGCUUAUGAAGGUUUCAUUAUUUCGGGUCAAAUGGUACUUUACCAUUUCCUUGAGUAUAUAUCAUAUAUACACUCAAUGUAGUCAUAAGGAUUUUCAUUCUUAUUUCUUUCGAACUAAGAGGUGCAACUCUAUGACAUAGUCAUAAAGUUCAAACCAUUCAACUGAGAUGGUUUAUAAAUCCUUCUCGACUACCUUGGAGCUUUUGGUAUUGGAACUAGGUUGUUUAUAUUUGUUGAUUACUUUCUUGUCUCUCAAAGAACCCAUUCUUUG
rnacentral:lncRNA from 1 species